AACAGUUCAUAAAGGUAGAGUGAGCCUGGACGUCUGCAGAGAGGAGGCCAAGAGGGAUGGGGAGACUGCACAGGCUGUGGCUUUGGUAGUUUGUCACUUAAAGGUUCCCUGGAAAUGUUCACCCUCUAGGUCCCAAUUACCAGGAAGAGGGAUCUCCUUGGUCCAUGUGCAGGUGGAACAAAAGAGCUGCUUGGCCUCAGGUCCCACUGGCUGGAUCAGAGACAGAGGGGUGUGCUCUCUGAGACUUCCUACUGGGCCCCUAUAGCACUUGCUGCCAGUCAGUCCCCUCCUGAUUGACAUGCAGGGGUGACCAUCUGUGAUGCAGGCCUCACAAAGUGGUCACGAUUUCAGGACAGGAAAGAUCUGUGCAGAGCUCCCUGCGCUGUCCUACCUGGAGGGUUGAGGGUGAGAACAAUGAUGACAGGAAUGACACUGAGUCCUCAGGAGAAUCUGUGAGCUAGGUGGAAGUUACCCGCUUUCAGAGGAUGGAUGGGUUAGGGAGGUCAGGCCCAGGCCUUGGUCAAUCACAGCGAGUGAGCAUUGCAGCUGAGAGGCAUCCAGAAUCAGAGCAUGCUGGAGUCAGUGUGGCACUGGUACCAGCUGACUUGGGUCAGAUGUCCAGGGUGUGACGUCAGGAGUGGUGGGGAAGUGGGGUGAGGUGAGCAUGAGCUCAAUGACUCUGCCAUCCACCCUGCUGGAAUCAGUCCUCCAGGUUUGCCUCUAUGAUGCUCUACCUCCGAGGAUCCAGGAAGGGGCUGUACAAGAAGUGUGUUCCCUUCCUGGGAGAAUACCUGACUCUUCUGCACAGGAUGGACGCGAGCAUGAAGGAUGAUUUGGAGGUUGGUAACUGGGGCCUGAGCUGGGGUGACCAAGAUUGACCUUGGGGGACAGAAAGCCCCAUACUGAGCCCUUACUGAGUUCUCAGCACAGUCUCCCCUUGGAGCUGGAGUGACAGGCUCAUCAUAGCCAUCUGUUACACCUCCUCUGGAGCCAGAACCUAGCCUUGAUCCAAGUUCUGUCUUUUCCAGUUUCCCAACCCCUCCUGGGUCUUGGUGGUAGUGUAACAUGCAAAAGAUGGGCACAAGGGUUUCUUUCUGAUGGACCUUAGAUGUCUGCCUUUUAGGGGGAGUCAGAUUAAAAUAGGAAAAGAAAAAAAAAAAAAGAAAAGAAAA